AACCCAUUCAAAAAACCCAUAGACUUUACAGCGUUGGAACCGGAAGUCCUAAAAUGCUAACUCGCUUCCGGGUUUUGCCUACAAAAACGCGUCAUCCCUGGGGCACUCUAUUUCAGUAAGUUAGACUAGACUUCCUGACCACCUGACCACCGGACGACCAUUUAAAACCAAUAAUAACCAACUGCAGAACCGCAGAACCAUACGUCAUGACAGUCUGAGGACGACAGCGCCAGACUAACAGCCUGAGGGCGGAAGUGGGCGGAGUAAUAGUCUCAAGUUGUAUGUGGGCGGAGUUAGCGACAAACAAACAAACAAUCAUGGCGGAAGAAGAGAACACGGUAAAAAGUUUCUUUGUGUUGUGCUUUUAAUCGAUCACGUUUAUGUGUUGUGUAUUUAUUCGAUCAUUAACACUUAACAUGACUUAAAUAUUUUGUAAAUGGGCUUCAAAGUCACUUUAUCACGUCUUUUGAUAUUUUACAAAUCGUCUCACGUUGCUUGCGCCCUGGUGAAAAAAUACUAUAGUCAUUUAUAGUAAAUACUAUAGUGUUUUUGAACCAUACUAUAGUACUUUAAGUACUUGAAUUAAUUUAUUGUGGUAAUUCUAUAGUUGCUGUGAUAAUAUAACAGCUAUAAUAAUAUGAACAAAUUACCCAAUAUUGUACUAAGUUUUCUACAAUUUUAGGGUAUAUUAUACUACAAUAUACACUAGUUUACUGUAGUAAAAACUAAAGUAUACUAUUUGUUACAGUUUAUCAGUUCACUAUAGUUAAUAUUAUAGUAUUCUGUAGCAUUCAUUAGUGUUGUAAAUACAGUGUGGUUCAAAAACACUAUAGUAUUUACUAUAGUAUUUUUUCACCUGGGUGUUUACAUAUUCAUGGUUUGUGAUUUUACUUGUUGUUGGUACUGUAUUUUAUUUAAUUGGUUACAUUUUACAAUACUGAUCAGUGUUUUUGUGGAUUUUAGAGGCAUAUUAGUAUUGGGAGAUGCUCCGCUUUACUUCAUUUACAGCGAUGCAAAACGUGCUGCAACAAUUUCCACUGUCCAGUGCUCUUAAACCAACCAGACGGCACAGGUUGAAUGCACAGCUUCAAAUUCACUUAAAAAAGGCUGUUGUUCAUGGAGAACAGUUGACCGGCUCUGGGGGAUCUUCAUGUUAAUGGAACCACAGAUCACAGAAGACUUCUGUACUGCACAACAACCAAAGGUCUUCACGGGUUUAGUGGAAGAGCUGUGCUUUCUGAUAUUGAAAGAGGAAGACCAGGAACAAGCCCUUCUUCAACUUUCACAGGCUGAAACAUGAUGACAGACAACUUAAGGAUGAUAUGGACAUUUUUCUUAAUGAGUGUCUGGACAAAAACAGUCUCUAGGUAAAAUUAAUCGCAUGUUUAUGGAGAUUUGAUUUUUUUUUUUUUUUAAGAUUUAAUUUGUCAUCAUGUACCUGCUGUUCAAUCUACACUCAAUUUGGUUUGAUUUUGUAUUUUUUUAGAGCAAAGCACAGCUAGUAGCUAUAUAAUGCUUUUGCUACUUACAUUUUAGUACAUUUUAUUAAAAUUAAAUAAAUAUCUUUUCUGUUUUUGUUUUUGGGUUUGAUGGAUCUGAAUGUGCUUAAUUCAUGCAUUCUAGUGUACAAUCGUGUAAUGCGUAUUAUAUAUUAUGAAAAACAAUGAUUCAUUCUGAAAUGCUUAAGUAAAAUAUUUUAUGACAAAUUAA